UGUGUGUGCAUUUUGGUGUUUGUGUGUGUGUGUGUAUGUGUGCUUACGUGAGGCAGCAUGAAUGUGAGGAUGUUUGUAUGUGUCAGUGUGUUUGUGGAAGAUUAUUUCUACGUGUGCGUGUUAACACUGAUGUGAAAGUAUACUCUAAAAAAUCUGAGCGUGUGUGUGUGUGUGUGUGUGUGUGUAGAUGAGACUCUGCAGGUUUUAGACCCUCCCUGUGUGUGACUGAGGUCUGGCUUGGGCAUUUGGAGUGCAGAAUUUUGUAGAUCUGGGUGCCUUCACGGGCGAGUGCCUGUUUGUGUGUUCAGACAGCAAAUUUUUGUUUAUGUGACUCCUCUAGGUCGGGGAGGGUGUUUGUAUUUGUGUGUGCUCCUAGUGGUGUUUACCUUUCAGGGAUUGGGAGGAGUGAGAUUUUUGUGUUGGAGCACAAAGAUGCUUACUCUCGCCCUAGUUCCUAGUCAGGUCAAGCGUUGUCCCCCCACAGUCUCUAGAGGAGAAGGUCUCACUGGUGACAGAGAAUCCUUGGGUGCUGGUCUCUGGUGAGUCACUGACCCACCAGCUGGGCCUCUGGAAGAGGAGUCCAAAUGGGCUGCUCCUGCUUGCCAGUACUGUCCCCUCACCCUCUGUCUGGCCGGGGACAGGCACUACAUAGAACAGUAGUGAGGCUUCUGGCUCAGGAAGAGUUGCUCUCACUUGGCCUCCUAGGCCCAGCUGAGAGAGGCUCUGAGAGCCUCAAAGGAAACUGCAGUUUCUGGUAGCACCUGGCUCUGCCCGCCUGGGGCAUGAAUGGUCCUUGAGCUCUGGCAGGGCAUAGAUGGAAAAAAAAAAAAGAACCCAGAGAGGACGGGAGAGGCCCCAGCUCCUGGGAAGUGUGCGGCCGCCUGCUGCCUUCUCCGUCUUUGUCUCAUCCAGCGAGCGAGGCUCCAGCUCUCACCUCUCUGUUCCAGGCUCUGGCUCGAUCUCAGGCCCGGAGCCUGUUCUGUCUCCCUUACCGGUUUCUCCCUCCCCUUUCCCUCUAUUUCCUCCUUUCUCUUUUUGUCUCCCUCAGCUCCUCUCUGCCGGGGCUGCUUUCUGAGUCCAGCGUCUGGCUAAUGCUGCGAGUGACUUUUCUCAUUGUGCACCCCGUACAGAUUUGGGGGUGUGGGAAGAAGUCUCACACCCCCACUCAUACCCUCUACGGUGAUCGAAUUCUCUACCCGGGAGCCUCUUCUGCUCCAGACUAGGCACCCGAGUUCACACUCCAUGGAGACCUCACCAAAAAUUCAAGGACCCAGAUCGGUGUGCCUCCCCAGCCCCGCUGGGUCCACGCUCAGCCUGUGUCCCUUAGCUCUUUCUGACUCUUUCUGACAAAUCCUCCCUCCCUCUUCUCCAAUGCACAGCCAGGCCUUAGCCACUGCGCAAUGGCAGGCCAGGUAGGUCGCAAGAUAGGGACGGCUAGCAGAGAGCAGCAGCUGCCCCCGGUCUCCCUGAGCCUGGAUAGGGGUGGGUCACCCUGUGCUAAAUCCCUGGUUGCAGAAGAGGGUUCUAUUUCCAGAAGCCCUGGUCUGAUCUUUCAGCUCUUACAGCAGAAUCUGCUCAGGUCGCAGCACUGCCCACCUCUAGGGGUUCGCCCUCCACACAGCCCAACUUCAGUUCCAGGAACGGCUCUGCCCGCCCUCGCUGCCCCUCCAUGCCUGGAAGCCUGUGUUGCUUUCACCAGUCCAUCACCUUCCCCGGUCCACAGCAUCCCCAAACGCCGGCAGACCAACGAUUAGAGGCAUUAUCCCGCCCCAGCAGCGUUAACAGAUGGCGACCAGGCAGUGAAAUCCCCUCCUAUAUGUAACUAAUAAACCGCUUGUGUCUUAACAGGGUAAUGCAUGGAGACGCAAUGUCACUUAUACAAGAUGUUGAUGGAAUUUACUAUAUAAAAAUCUUCCUCCUAGAGUAAAGAGUAUCAACAUUACAACUCGACAGACGGCGGCGGGAUAAGUAAAACAGACAAAAGACAAACAAGAUAAUAAUCUGUUUCCAAUCACUUAAGCCCUGUAGAGUUAGUAAUCUGCGGUUUGCAUAUUCCCCCUUGAGUUCGGUAAUUAAUUACGGGCGAGGAGGCUGCACAUCCGCCCCAAGUGAGAGUUUUAAGGCAGCUGAGGUGGGGCAUCGGGUACCUUCCUGGACUCCUCCAGCCAGGGACUCGGGGCAGUGGCCGGAAGGAGGUUCCUCCGGCCGUUCCGAGCCGCCUUUUCCGCAGGUGGAAGAGGAGGACAUUUCAGUUGCACGCCUUGUACUCCUGAUCGGGGAGUCGCCGGCCUGGGGGAUUCUGCAGAAACGGGGACCAGGGCUUCACUGGCGGCUAGUGGUUCUCCUGGUCCCUCUUAAGGGCACUCCCUCCCUUUGAAUAGCCGCGAGUGGCCUGCUUUUUUUGAAGAUCGCGCGCGCUGGGGGCCGCGGUGGCUGGGAGGGGGGAUCUAGGGGGCGCGCCCCUCGCUCCCUUCUCCCCUCGGUAUCUCGGGCGAAGCAGCGGGUCCUCUCGAGACUUCGAUCGUUACCGCCUCCCCACCCCCAACUCGCACACGAACUCCCCCCCCCACCCCAAGAGCCGGCGCGGUUUAACAUUAAACAAACGCAGCGAGCGCCUGGGAGCUGCGCUCUCGGCCGGGUCUGCGCGGCGGCGGCGGCGUUACAAAUUGUAAAUUUAAAUUGCUCGCCGGAUUCAUUACCUCCCCUCUUUGAUUUCAGCCAGCCGUGAAAAAUUAUACUGGUGUACCACUGAGAAACUGUUUUGCCGCAAAGAGCCCGCGCCUAAUCACUGGCUUUCUCCCUCCGACAAAAGUGUAAUUAUUUUGUUUGGGGUGUAAAUAUAGGCCGCGCCGCGCACACACACUCAGCGUCCCGCCGCGCCGCAGCGCACGGCCCGCCGCCGGCGGGAAUCUGCCCCGGAGUAGGAGUGGGCGUGGAGCCUGCGCCCGCCGCCUGCAGGCCCGAGCCGCUGGUGGCUGGUUUGGCGCUCUGGCGGGAUCCGGCGAGCGGAGGCGACAGACUGGGUCCCCAAUCUCUGUCCUCGGGAGUUGGGUUUUGCUGGAGGACUCUGAGAUCCUGUGCACCCAAGCAGACCGGAGUGCAUGGCCCAGGGCUGUGAUGCCUGGGUCUGGGCGUGGGUUCAGGUCUAGGUGUCGCUGAAGGGAUGGCGAGGGCGGAGUGGGUGAGGGUUCGGGUCUCCAGAUGGAAGCGGGUGCCCGCCUGCAUGGAACCCUGGACUCGCGCACCACCGUGGACGGCUUGAUUUCCAGAACCUCUCUGCGGGGCGCAGGGCCUUCCUGACAGUUGAAUUGUGCACGGCUUAAUUAACGGUCUCGUUAACUGGGCAGGCCCGACCUGGGACGUUUAAUCAAAAAAGGCAGGGAAUCCCUCCCCCUCCCUUCCCCCUCUCUCCACUUCUUCCCUCCUUCUUCCCUCUUUCCUUGGGAGAGCUGCCGGGGACCCUUCGCCAAGUUCACUCCUUCCCCAAGACUUUCACUCCAGCUCCAGGAAGGGGCGUUCCUGGGUCUGAACUCAAGCUCAGUCCAGAACUUGAACUUUAAAGAGGAACUGCUGGGCCAGAGGGUGAGGGGUGGGACAAUACCCGCUGGGUCAGCUUUUGGGGGCCUGAGCCUUCUCCAGGCUCCACAUCUCCAAGUUGGAGCAGGGCUUGGGCCUGGAGUGGCCCAGUCCUUCUGCAUCUGAGGCUGGAGGAGGCUGUGGCCAGGCCUCCUGGCCCUGCUGAGUGUACCUGAGAUGGAGGCCAUCCACCAGGCCUUGGGAGCUAUUGGUAAGAAGAUGCCCACAGUUCCACUCCAUUCUCCUCAUCUCAGAUACAAGGGUCCCUGGACUUUCUCAUCAUUCUUUCUGCAACUAGCUAGUCGGCGUCUUGCUUUUCCUCUGUUCUCUUAGUCUUUAUUAUAUUUUUCUGUUUUGAUAGCGCAUCUCUCUUUCUCUCUCUCUCCCUCUCUCCCUUCCCCUCCCCCCUCCAUUCUGUCCUACUCCUUCUCCCCGCCCCUCCAUAUCCUACCUCCUUUUUGUUAGCCUAAUAUGGGUUCCUUUAGAAUUCGCCCGACUUUGGCAGCCCGCGCUGUGUGUGUGUGUGUGUGUGUGUGUGUGUGUGCGCGUGUGUGUGCGCGCGCCCGUGUGUAUGCGUGUGUGUGUGUAUUUCUCGGUUGCUAAUGAUUGUGUGUUGAUAGAGUAAUGCAGUGGCCUCAUUAGCCUUUGUUUAGAAGGUGUUAAAAGGGAAAUCUGCAUCGGAAAGCGGCGGUUUACACAGCAGCGGGGCUGAACCCUGCGCGCCACAGCGGGCUGGUGUGUGCGGGGGGCGCGGCUACCCCCCCCAGGCGCCCACCGCGGCGGAUCCAGGGAGGGGGGAGGGGACCAGGGAAGGCGACCCCAGCUCUUUCCUCCCAAGGCGAGUAUGUUUACCCCGCUGUGCGCCCUUCUGCUCCGCAGGAACCGCAGCAGGGACGGGGCGUUCUCGGAAACUCCUCCGAGCUGCUCAGCCUGCGCGGUGGCCUUUCUCCCCCACAGGUUUCUUGGGGAGGAGGGCGGGGAGGGCAGAAUUCUGUUUAGAAGAAAAAAAAAAUUCAGGGAUUUUUUGGAGGGGUGUGUGUGUGUGUGUUUGUGUGUGUGGGGGUGAGGUGCCUUAUCUUGGAGGCGAGUACAAAUGAAUUCACCGCGAUUGGGGGAUCUCAGGGCUGGUUGGUUGGUGGCUGAGGUCUCCUUGCGCCCUGCGAUGCCCAAAGGCGGGCCCCCAAGCUUCAGGGGGUCUGCAAAGAAUCCUUUCUUUCCUACCAACGCAUUUGCAGACCCCCUUGCCGGCGGUUCGUUCUUAAAGUUACUUUGCCCUUCUGCCCCUGCCCGGGGACUCCUGUGGGGGAACGGAUUCCGGAGAAUGGAAGGGGAGCGUGGCCGCCUACUUCUCCAAGCUCGGGGAGGCGCAGAACUUCAUUGACCCCGGGCUAGAGAGCGUGUGUGUGUGUGUGUGUGUGUGUGUGUGUGUGUGCGUGUGUGUUUACGCAGGUGGGUGUGGGAUUUGGAGAGCGAGCUUCACGAGCUCGCGUUUUCCACAUCCUGGGGGAGGCGAGGUUUCUGGCUGAGCAGAACGUGGGAAGAAAUCCCUUUUUAUCCUGGAUCCUACGAAAUGACCCAUAAAAAACAAAUAUUUUGAGCAGCCUCGGUGGCGUGUUGAACUCGGAGCCAGACGCUUUUGUGGGCAAAGAGAGAAGCAGCGCUGCGGCGUUGGUGCACGGGAGGUGCACAGGCUCGUCCCAUGCAUCCAUCGCCCCUCUCUAGGGGGACGUGGCUGCGUUGGAAGACGCGCGGUGUCAUCCUAUCUGGCUUCUCGGACUUUUGGUUUUCCCUCCCCUGGAUUUGAGGUUUCGGGUCUUGGGGCGAAAAGCUCAGCUGGACCGGGCAUUUGUGCGGUGCCGGGAGACGCACCCGCGAAGCGCUGGACAUCGCCGUGUGUGUGUGUGUGUGUGUGUGUGUGUGUGUGUGUGUGUGUGUGUGUGUGCCUUUUAUGUUUGUAUUUUUGUUUUAAUCCAAGGCGAGGUGAUGUGGCUGGGGCCUCGGGCAGUAACACUGAAACGAAUUCCAAACCAAAACUGCCCUCGCCAUGGAGACCCCCGGCCCUCAACACUCACCCCAAUACCAGGUAGACAGAAGCGAGGUUUCCGGUGAACCCAAGUUAACAUCGACCCCUCUGAUGCAGCGGGAUGGGGUCAGGGCCAAGUUCGGAGGAGGCGGGAAGAGGAUAGAAAAAGGCUUCUACCGCCCUGCUCUGCUCUCUGUCUCUUUCUCUCCCAAGCAGGUUUGUCGCACGAGGCAGGGGCGCGCCUGUGGCGGCUGCAGGGUCUGCACUAGCGCCGGAGUUUGGACCUAGACAAAGACAGGAGCCGGGAGCCGGAGCCGGGAGCUGUCCGCGGUGCUGAACCUUCCGCACCGCCUUGGGGGGCGAGGGGCUGCUGCAGUCGGCCUGCUCCUCGGGGAUCCUUGAUUUGCGUCUUCACUUUGUGACUCCUGCCGCCCCUUGAAUGUAUUUCACCCCUUUUCCCUUUGCCUCUCCUUAGAACCGUGUCCUAUACUCGGGCCAAUAUAGAAUGCAAUCUCAAAGGAUGAAACGAUUGAUUAAGAAACGAUUUCUUGUUGCUUAGAUAAAUUCUGUAAGAAGGCUCAUUUUAACUAUGUUCCAUAAAAGACACAAGUAGCUCUUCCCCACCCUCCCAAGAAAUGAAAAUUCACGUUGUAAACAAUAGAACGAAACUGUCGUGAAUACCACGAAUCUGCCCAUGGACUUAUUGUGAAGAGGAGGCCGGGAGUUUAGAUUUGAAAUUUUGGUUUGGGGAAUACCAGAUUCCCUGCCACUUUAAUUUCUGGGGUAGAAAAAUCUAGGAGCUGGAAGGCUUGGUGGCUGCAUGGGAAGGUGAGGAGACAAAGGCACCUGCCUAAUGGAGGAAAGAAAGAGGUUUUGUGAGGGUCCCAGUAAGGGACAUAAGUUGGCUUAACCCUUUGAGGCAGAGACGAGAGCUUUAGGGAUAGCGACCUUUGGGAUUACUCAGAGGGGCAUGAUGCCUUUGGAAAGUUUGGAUACAAAGGGAUCAUCUGGUGCUUCAUUUUCUAAACAUCCUAGGUGUAAUCUAAGUGCCCAGCAUGGACGCAACCAAGUGUCCACACCUCUGUUCAAAUUUGCAUGUGGCACCCAUCUAGGGGAGUUUGUGUGCUAGAGAGAGGAACAAUCACAAACUCUCUCCCUGGGAAAGAGCACCCAUUUCGUGCACAUGGGUUUGUUCCCAGUGGCAUCUCAUAGAUGCACUGCCUCCCCGGGAGCCCCGAGGCCCCAUGGGCCCCUCUUUAUUUGAUCUUCUCACUACACUUCAAACCUCCCCAGUGCAGAGGUGUCAGCCAAGUCCAGCUGUUGACAUCACCAUUACAUAUGGAGAGGGUUCCCCGUUAAUUCAGUGGCAUACGACUGUCUGGUUCUCCAUGGAAUAUUGUAGAUAUUUUCUUUGCCCAUGAAGGCAAAAUAACCUGAAUUCUCCAACUGGGAUCAUUUGUAACAAGAGGUUGCAUCUAUGGGAUGGGGACAGUGGUACUCCAGUUCCUGCAGAUCCGGACUGUUAGCUUCUUAUCCAAAUACACUUAGAUCUGUAAUUAAGACCAAAGCCUUGAGGUCACAAGCCUUUCAGCCUCUCAGAACACAGAACCUCCAUGUGUCAUAAGGGAAGCCCUCACCUUGGGUAGUAAGGCAUAAGAAAAAUGAUAAUAAAGUCAUUUUUUUGAGUGAUCA